UGUGAUGAUGAUGUUAUGAUGUCAGGUGAUGAUGUCAUGGGAUGAUGAUGUCAGGUGGUGAUGUCAGGUGAUGUCAUUUGGUGGUGAUGUCAUGUGAUGAUGAUGUCAGGUGAUGAUGAUGUCAUGUGAUGAUGUCCUGUGAUGAUGAUGUCAUGAUGUCAGGUGAUGAUGGCAUGUGAUGAUGUCAGGUGGUGAUGUCAUGUGAUGAUGAUGUCAGGUGUUGAUGUCAUAGUUGGGUCAUCUAUAGCAGUUCCAUGACCGUGGAGAGCGAAGGUUGGUUUCUCACUGGAUUUGUCAUCUAUAAGGGUUAAAUAAGAAAUUGAGCCGGGGUGCCCCUCUCAAAGAUGUGGGGAAAAUUUUUGAGAGCCCUUAAUCCAAAAUGGCUAACGUCAGCCAAGCUGGAAAUUAUCUUUUUAAUGGUUUGGACCACAGUACUGCAUAAUAGAUGGUUUCUGAGACUAUUUGGGUCAAGAAAUUCAUAAGUGAUGUAAAUUUAUUGAUUUGACCUAUUUUUGACCCAAAUUCAAGAUGGCCGCCAAUUUUUGGCUCUUUAAAUGUCCAUUUUUCAAAAUUGUCAUAGAGCCUUAAUAUUAGGCUCAAAUGAAAGCUCUGCUCAUACUGAGUUCAGUUAUGGAUAGUAAAAUUACAAGUAGGCUACACAGA